rnacentral:rRNA from 1 species
GACGAACGCUGGCGGCGUGCUUAACACAUGCAAGUCGAACGGAAAGGCCCUGUACUUGUGGGAACCUGGAGUGCCGCACGGGUGAGUAACACGUGAGUAACCUGCCCUUGACUUCGGGAUAACUUCAGGAAACUGGGGCUAAUACCGGAUAUGAGCUCCUUCUGCAUGGUGGGGGUGGUAAAAUUUCGGUGGUUGGUGAUGGAGGCGCGGCUCAUCAGUUUGUUGGUGAGGUAGUGGAUUACCAAGGCUUUGACGCGUAGCCGGCCUGAGAGGGUGACCGGCCCCAUUGGGAUUGAGGUGCGGCCAGGAGUGAAACGGGGGGAAGGGGUGAAAAAUAUUGCGCGAUGGGCGGAAGCAGGGUGGAGCAACGCCGCGUGCGGGAUGACGGCCUUUGGGGUGUAACGCGCUUGCGCCUGUAACGAAGCGUGAGUGACGGUAAUGGGUAAAGAAGCACCGGCUAACUACGUG